UACGAAGGGGGCUAGCGUUGCUCGGAAUCACUGGGCGUAAAGCGCACGUAGGCGGAUUGUUAAGUCGGGGGUGAAAUCCUGGAGCUCAACUCCAGAACUGCCUUCGAUACUGGCGAUCUUGAGUCCGGGAGAGGUGAGUGGAACUCCGAGUGUAGAGGUGAAAUUCGUAGAUAUUCAGAAGAACACCAGUGGCGAAGGCGGCUCACUGGCCCGGUACUGACGCUGAGGUGCGAAAGCGUGGGGAGCAAACAGG
rnacentral:rRNA from 1 species